CAGAACGAACGCUGGCGGCGCGCCUAAUACAUGCAAGUCGAGCGAGAAGGUGUAGCAAUACACUUGUAAAGCGGCGAACGGGUGAGGAAUGCAUGGGUAACCUACCCUCGAGUGGGGAAUAACUAGCCGAAAGGUUAGCUAAUACCGCAUACGUUUCCGGAACUUCGGUUUCGGAAAGAAAGCAAUACCGUGGGUAUUGCGCUCCUGGAUGGGCUCAUGUCCUAUCAGCUUGUUGGUGAGGUAACGGCUCACCAAGGCUUCGACGGGUAGCUGGUCUGAGAGGACGAUCAGCCACACUGGCACUGCGACACGGGCCAGACUCCUACGGGAGGCAGCAGUAAGGAAUAUUGCGCAAUGGACGAAAGUCUGACGCAGCGACGCCGCGUGGGGGAUGAAGGUCUUCGGAUUGUAAACCCCUUUCGGGAGGGAAGAUGGAGUGGGUAACCACUUGGACGGUACCUCCAGAAGCAGCCACGGCUAACUUCGUG
rnacentral:rRNA from 1 species